rnacentral:lncRNA from 1 species
CAAAUACCACUACUCCUCAGCAACCAUCCCCAGGAACCUCACUUUCAAUAUCACGAAGACCAUCCGUCAGGAUGAGUGGCAUGCCCUACACCUGCGCAGAAUGACGGCUGGCUUCAUGGGCAUGGCGGUGGCCAUCAUCCUCUUUGGCUGGAUCAUCGGCGUGCUGGGCUGCUGCUGGGACCGAGGCCUUAUGCAGUACGUGGCAGGGCUGCUCUUCCUCAUGGGAGGUAAGGCUGCAGGCUCGGCUUGUGGGUGGCAGUGGACAGGGUCCUGUUUACCACAAUUUGGGGAGAAUGGCCAGAGGGCACAGCAGAGGGGACCAUGACGUGACUGGGGUUCUCAUUCACUCAUCCAUUGGUUCACAAGCACUUCUUGAGUUGCUUUUAGCUCCUCACCACUGCACCAGCUGUUGGGGAUACAAAGGAAAAUAAGACACGGUCCUCAUCUUUCCCUCAGAGCUGACUGCCUGUGUGGAAGAAAGACACUUACGGAGAUGAUCAUGAGAUGGGUGGUUACAGCAGAUGCAGAUAUCAGACCUGGAACAAGCAUGAGCCCAGGAAGUACUUGGGCAUUUCAUUAUAUGCAGGCCCUGGGCAUUAGUGUGGGAAGCUGGAAGCAGGUGCUAUCUGGGCACUUUCCGUCCAAAAGUCUAUCUUCACCUCUGACUUAUGGAUCCUGAAGCUGCCCCCCUUUCAAGUAAGGCGGGGGUGGGGCAGGACUAGACCGUCUCUUAUAUCUGUCUCUCUUACUCCAUUAUUUUACCAUCAUGUGCAUAGGACCACUCCAGCGUCCCUCUAGAGGGAUUCUACAUAAGGAGAACUGCACAGCUAUGUGGGAAUAGGGGUCCAGUCCAUGGGAAGUAACAGUGAGUCCACUCCUCUUGUGCCUCUUCUUUCCCUGUAAGAGCUAAACUGUGCUUUUUGGUCUCCUGGUUUGAGUCGCAGUCCCAAGCUGAAGUUGACCACUGGGUAUGUCCAUCACCAUCUACCCCUCAGACAAAGGUAGAUGGGUGGAUUGUGUGGGGCUCAGUAGAGGGAGAUUGGGGCCUGGACAGAGGGAAUUAGAAAUAUUGUGGCUCACACCUGUAAUCCCAGCACUUUGGGAGACCAAGGCGGGUGGAUCAUGAGGUCAGGAGUUCGAGACCAGACUGGCCAGCUUGGUAAAACCCCGUCUCUACUAAAAAAAAAAAAAAAU